GGGGAUAUAGUUCAGUUGGUAGAAUAGGUGCUUUGCAUGUACUUGGUCAUCGGUUCGAGUCCGAUUAUCUCCA